AGACGAACCGUCCAAACGUUAUUCGGAAUCACUGGGCUUAAAGGGUGCGUAGGCGGCCUGGCAAGUUGGGUGUGAAAUCCCUCGGCUCAACCGAGGAACUGCGCCCAAAACUGCCAGACUUGAGGGAGAUAGAGGUGAGCGGAACUUAGGGUGGAGCGGUGAAAUGCGUUGAUAUCCUAAGGAACACCGGUGGCGAAGGCGGCUCACUGGAUCUCUUCUGACGCUGAGGCACGAAAGCUAGGGUAGCGAACGGGAGUAGAAACCCCGGUAGUCC
rnacentral:rRNA from 1 species